CUAAGUCAAUUCCCAUACCCCUGGCUCAAUGGGAGACAGACAUCAAGUGGGAGGAGGAUACAAAGUUGAGAGUCAGUCAUGAAUCCUUACAAAGGCACUGAGAAAUAUGUGACUGAGUGCUGUGGGGGUCCAGAAUGCUUCACACAGUAUGCCUCGUGGGUGCUACCAUCAAAACAGAACCUUGGGCUGGUUGGAUCCAAGUCUGACUCAGCAAGCAAUUCUGAACAUUAUUUCAAGUCAAGAGCUGGGAGGAUAAAAGUUUUCAUCCACUUCAAGAAGAAAAACACAUCUUCAUGGGCUUUUGUUUUUCUUUUUAGAAUAUCUGCUAAACUAUGAUAGAAGAAAUGCAGGCUUAUUUUCGAAACAACUCUGAUUCUCAAUGAGCUAAAUAGAAAAAUGUGACUCAGAUCCAACGAAGACAUUUAAAUGAUAGUUCAGAAAGAAUCCAAAAGAGAAGACCAUACUAGAAAAUGUUAUUUCCUUCAUAGUAGUGGAUCUUAACCAGAAUCAUCUGAGAAGCUUUUAAAAGCACAGAUGCCUUAAUUAGAUGCCAAAACAAAAUUAGCCAGGAAAACAAUAAGAGAAGAAUGAGAUGGGACUAGCCUCACAAAUAUUACAACACUGUAAGUAGCUCCAGCAACUAAAUAGUUAUUGGCAAAUGAAUAAACAAACUAACAGAACAGAACUGAAAGCGCAGAGGCUUUAAAAGGAUAAAAAUGGCAUCAAAUUAAGGGGUAGAGAGAGGAUGGAAAGGAAAAAAAUGUGGGUAAAUUGGGUAGCCUUCAGGGAAAAAAGUUAGAUCCAUGCCUCAUACCCUAUGCCAGGAUAAAUUCUAAACAGAUUACAGAUUCAAAUACAAAAAUCAAAGCCCUACAAGUAUUAGAAGAAAAAUGGAAGAAUUCUUUCAUAAUUAAAGUCUUUCUACUUAACAACUAUAAAAAAUUUCAAAUUAUACUAUAUCUAAUUAAAAAAUUUUGCAU